GUCAGAUGACUAUUACGUG
rnacentral:siRNA from 1 species